rnacentral:rRNA from 1 species
AUACGAAGGGGGCUAGCGUUGUUCGGAUUUACUGGGCGUAAAGCGCACGUAGGCGGAUUGAUCAGUUAGGGGUGAAAUCCCGAGGCUCAACCUCGGAACUGCCUUUAAUACUGUCAGUCUAGAGACCGGAAGAGGUGAGUGGAACUCCUAGUGUAGAGGUGGAAUUCGUAGAUAUUAGGAAGAACACCAGUGGCGAAGGCGGCUCACUGGUCCGGUACUGACGCUGAGGUGCGAAAGCGUGGGGAGCGAACAGGAUUAGAAACCCCAGUAGUCC